UACAGAGGUCUCAAGCGUUGUUCGGAUUCAUUGGGCGUAAAGGGUGCGCAGGCGGCGAGGCAAGUCGGACGUGAAAUCCCGGGGCUCAACCCCGGAACGGCACCCGAGACUGGGCGGCUCGAGACCGGGAGAGGUGGGUGGAAUACCCAGUGUAGAGGUGAAAUUCGUAGAUAUUGGGUGGAACACCGGUGGCGAAAGCGGCUCACUGGCCCGGUUCUGACGCUGAGGCGCGAAAGCGUGGGGAGCAAACAGG
rnacentral:rRNA from 1 species